rnacentral:tRNA from 7 species
GCGAGAGUGGUGAAAUGGUAGACACACUAGUCUUAGGAACUAGCGCGCAAGCAUGUGGGUUCAAGUCCCACCUCUCGUA